UACAGAGGUGGCAAGCGUUAGUCGGAAUUACUGGGCGUAAAGCGCACGUAGGCGGCUUUGUAAGUUAGAGGUGAAAGCCCGGAGCUCAACUCCGGAACUGCCUUUAAGACUGCAUCGCUUGAACGUCGGAGAGGUAAGUGGAAUUCCGAGUGUAGAGGUGAAAUUCGUAGAUAUUCGGAAGAACACCAGUGGCGAAGGCGACUUACUGGACGACUGUUGACGCUGAGGUGCGAAAGCGUGGGGAGCAAACAGG
rnacentral:rRNA from 1 species